GACGAACGCUGGCGGCGUGCUUAACACAUGCAAGUCGAACGGAAAGGCCCUGCCUUUGUGGGGUGCUCGAGUGGCGAACGGGUGAGUAACACGUGAGUAACCUGCCCUUGACUUUGGGAUAACUUCAGGAAACUGGGGCUAAUACCUGAUAGGAGCUCCUGCUGCAUGGUGGGGGUUGGAAAGUUUCGGCGGUUGGGGAUGGACUCGCGGCUUAUCAGCUUGUUGGUGGGGUAGUGGCCUACCAAGGCUUUGACGGGUAGCCGGCCUGAGAGGGUGAACGGGCACAUUGGGCCUGAGAGACGGACCAGACUCCUACGGGAGGCAGCAGUGGGGAAUAUUGCACAAUGGGCGGAAGCCUGAUGCAGCAACGCCGCGUGCGGGAUGACGGCCUUCGGGUUGUAAACCGCUUUCGCCUGUGACGAAGCGUGAGUGACGGUAAUGGGUAAAGAAGCACCGGCUAACUACGUG
rnacentral:rRNA from 1 species